CGCCUCCUCUCCCAGUUCAGUUCAGUGCUCCAUACUGGAUUUGUGUGCAGGCUGAGGAGGCAGAGAAGAGCAGUGGUGUUACCCAUUCCACCCCCAGCUUCAGCAUGGCUGCGUGGUGGAAGAAACCCCUGCUACAGAC
rnacentral:snoRNA from 1 species